rnacentral:pre_miRNA from 1 species
UUCUUUGGUUAUCUAGUUGUAUGAGAUUAUAUUAUCACAUCAUAAAGCUGGAUGACCAAAAGA